UACGUAGGGUGCGAGCGUUGUCCGGAAUUAUUGGGCGUAAAGGGCUCGUAGGCGGUUUGUCGCGUCGGGAGUGAAAACACCGGGCUUAACUCGGUGCUGGCUUUCGAUACGGGCAGACUAGAGGUAUGCAGGGGAGAACGGAAUUCCUGGUGUAGCGGUGAAAUGCGCAGAUAUCAGGAGGAACACCGGUGGCGAAGGCGGUUCUCUGGGCAUGUCCUGACGCUGAGGAGCGAAAGCACGGGGAGCGAACAGG
rnacentral:rRNA from 1 species